ACUACCUACGGGGGGCAGCAGUGGGAAUUUUGCGCAAUGCUCGUAAGAGUGACGCAGCGACGCCGCGUGAAUGACGAAGGCCUUCGGGUCGUAAAGUUCUUUCGACAGGGAAGAAAAUGCCUAUAAGUAACUGUGUAUGUAUUGACGGUACCUGUAUAAGCAGCCCCGGCUGACUCCGUGCCAGCAGCCGCGGUAAUACGGAGGGGGCGAGCGUUGUUCGGAGUGACUGGGCGUAAAGAGCACGUAGGCGGUGUUGUAAGUCAUUAGUCAAAGACUAGAGCUCAACUUUAGUAAGGCUAGUGAUA
rnacentral:rRNA from 1 species